AUGAUUUUUAAAUUGCAUUUUGUGUUUGUUUUUUGUAUCCUUCUUUUUUCUCCUGCUUUA
rnacentral:ribozyme from 14 species